AUGCGAAAUCGUGAAACUUCAACCUCACAAAAAUCAACUCAAUUCACAAGUCAACAACAUAUCACACUAACAAGCGCAAAUACCAUAGAUUUUGGAAGAACUGUAGAGGAACGUCAGAAACAACUGAAAACACAGAGCCAUACCUCAAUUUAUUCUUUGCUGAAGCCAUCGAACUCACCGGAAUCAGCAUCUCUUUUGGUAAAUUUAUCCCAUUUUCACGCUUCAUUUUUGGUUUUCUGA